UACCNUGCAGUCGAGCGGACCAAUGCUCAUUUCAGCUUUACUGAUUUGAGCAUUGGUUAGCGGCGGACGGGUGAGUAACGCGUGGGCAACCUGCCCUGUGCAGGGGGAUAACACAGCGAAAGCUGUGCUAAUACCCCAUAAGACUACGCUAUCGCAUGAUAGAGUAGUCAAAGCUUUAGCGGCACAGGAUGGGCCCGCGUCUGAUUAGCUAGUUGGUGGGGUAACGGCCUACCAAGGCGACGAUCAGUAGCCGACCUGAGAGGGUGAUCGGCCACACUGGAACUGAGACACGGUCCAGACUCCUACGGGAGGCAGCAGUGGGGAAUAUUGCACAAUGGGGGAAACCCUGAUGCAGCAACGCCGCGUGAGCGGAGAAGGCCUUCGGGUCGUAAAGCUCUGUCCUAAGGGAAGAAGUAUGACGGUACCUUAGGAGGAAGCCCCGGCUAACUACGUGCCAGCAGCCGCGGUAAUACGUAGGGGGCGAGCGUUAUCCGGAAUCACUGGGCGUAAAGGGUGCGUAGGCGGCCGAGUAAGCCAGAGGUGAAAGGCUACGGCUUAACCGUAGUAAGCCUUUGGAACUACUUGGCUUGAGUGCAGGGAGAGGAGAGUGGAAUUCCUAGUGUAGCGGUGAAAUGCGUAGAUAUUAGGAGGAACACCAGUGGCGAAGGCGACUCUCUGGGACUGUAACUGACGCUGAGGCACGAAAAGCGUGGGGGAGCAAACAGGAUUAGAUACCCUGGUAGUCCACGCCGUAAACGAUGAGUGCUAGGUGUCGGGGGUUCACACCCUCGGUGCCGGAAUUAACNCAAUAAGCACUCCGCCCUGGGGAGUACGGUCGCAAGACUGAAACUCAAAGGAAUUGACGGGG
rnacentral:rRNA from 1 species